rnacentral:lncRNA from 1 species
AAGCGAAAGUAUUGGACCAAGUGCCAUAACAAACUCAUUCAACAACAAGAGUGAAGGUACACAAGACUAUGCAACAAUCAAAAUUGAAAGGUCUAGUUGUGUCUCAACUGGUAGAGUCAGAGUCGGUGUGAUAGCAAGCUCAUUCAACAACAAGGGCAAUAGCAUCCAGAAUUUUAGCGAUGCCACAAUCAUAAUCAUCGGCAACUGUUGUGACUCACUUGGUUUGCAUGGUAUCAUAUUUUACUGCUUCUUCCUUAGAGGUCUUGUUACAUUACUGCUUAUCCCAACUAGAGAUCAACAUCUCCAUCUAAGAAUACUGGAUUCAACUCGAUCCAAGGUCGAGGUCCAUUCUCCUUCAAGAGGGCACUCCACUCGCCAAUAACAUUCAUUUAUGAUCCUCCAUAAUCUUCUCACUUACCAUGUCUAUGUCUUCUACCACCAGAUUCAAUUUUCGCCACAUCUCUGUAGGUUCCUCUUUCACUCACCAUGCUGGUUUGUAUUAAAUUUUUCUAUUUAAAAUAUAUAUGAACAUGCAUGCUCUUGUUUUUGUGCUCAACACCAGAGUUAAAAAUAUUCCAACAACAGAAUCUCCACGUACUAAAGAUGUACAUUGAGUAAAAUAAAAAAAACAAGAAAAGUAGAAAACUAGGAAUGAAGAGUUGAAGCAAUUUUAUUCUUAUAUAAAUUACAUUUGAAAGUUUGCAACAGUUUUAUCCUAACAAAAUAUUUCUCUUAAUUAUUGUCAAUAUAAGACCUGAGGUAACUAAACUAAAAGUGUGUUUUUAUCUUACUGUAUGAUUUUCAACAUUUGUGAGAAAUCCAACUUUAUGUCAAUUUAUGCAUGAUAUAAAUGAAGGACAGAAUUCUCAAUAUUUGUGACGAUUCCAACUUUAUUUCAAUUUAUGCAUGAUAUAAAUGAAGGACAGAAGUUGGAGUAAAAAGUUUCAUUACAUAUGUGGGUCCUGUGGUUUGAUUAUUGAUAUCCAGAAGAUACUUUCUAAAACAUCUAACUAGGAAUAUUCAGAAGAGUUUAGUAGUUUUGCUUUAUGAUGAAAGGUUAAUUUUAUAGGUUGUGGAUGUUUUUCUUUUUUACUCUAAGAUCCUAUACAAUACCAUCUAUUCUUUAAAGUUAAGUUUGUACUAUCUUUAAUAAAUUUCAAAAUAAGGAGUUAUUCCAUACUCUUUUUCUUCUUUUUAAGAAUCUGUUAGUUUUAUUGGAUUUGUAUAUUAAUGAUUAGUAUAUCAUAAGUGAGGUAAUAUGGAAAAUGCUUUCUCUAGCAAAUUGCUAUCUUCAACUAUAAUGCAAUGUCGAGGUACAUGUAUUGUAGUUUAUCCACCUCUGGAAGGUUCUUAAUACAUAUAUUUUGAGACCUAAUGUUGGGUUUCGGUAAUCGAGUAUGCAAAUGGGCUUAAUCCAUCAAAUUGUGCCCAAAUCCUUCAUAGAUGGUCUUAAACAUUUUGUUUGAUAUAUUUGGGAUUUGUGCUGUGAUUAACUUUAAUUCCUUAUGAUUCAAGAAAAAGUGAUUCUAGUAAUAUGACAUUUUAUAUAAUACGUGCUAAAAUAUUAUUAAAAAAUUCACUGAAAGUAUUGAAAUUCGUGUACCUGUAUGAAGGCAUUGUCCUGAUUAACUAAUGGUUUUAUAUUUGAUGUCUUACAGGAAGUCGAAGUAUUGAACACGGUGUUGUAAACUCAUUCAACAACGAAGGCAAUGGGUUACAGGACUUCAGCAAUUCAACAAUCAUAGUUGGAAGUUGUAGCUGUACCUCAACUUGUGUGCAACUGAAGACUCAUCAAACUGGUUUGAUUAAGAAAAACAUUGAAACUGUAUGAGACAUGUUAAACCUUUAAGAUGAGGCCAUAAUGUUUUCAAACAGUUAUUGACUGAAGAACCCUUUGGAAAACAAAGUAGCCAUUAGCCAAUAGGGUUGAAGAAAGCUCAAUUUUUGGAAAUCUUUCUAUCAUGCUGAUAGUUGAUUGUAUUUUGGCACUUUAGAUGAACUUGGUAGUUGAGUGGUCCCCAGAAGCAGGACCAAUUUGUAUUUUGAUUAUUUAAAGUGACACCAAUCUUCUCUCACAUAGAAGGCUCCAAGAGUUGGUUCCACCACUUCUUUGAUCUCGGCUUAGGGCACUUCUGGUUCCAUUAAUUAAGGGUUAGUGUGGUUCUGUUCUACUACAAUUAUGUCUUCUUAGUCUGUUGGACUGAGAACCAGAAUGAAGUGUAACACUACAUUCAAUGCCCACUUACUAAUCAUUACCACAUUUUAUAUCUUGCAAGAAGGAAGUCAUUAGAAACUCAUUCAAUAAUGAGGGUAACGCCAACCAAUAUUUUCACAACACGACAAUCAUAAUUCUUGUAUGAAUUUAAAGUUUCAUUUUUCUGGUCAUGGCAAACUUUUUUUUUAUAAAACCCAAGGAAAAAUAUAAUUUAUUUUUUUUACAGUGAUCUAAACUUUGUUUCUGAAUAGUAAUUCAGUCUCGAAAAGUUAUGGUUAGUUUAUUAAGACUGAUCUUAAAAAUUUCUUUAAUGUUCUCUUGAUUUCAUAUUCUCCUCAGCUUAGUCUUAAUACAAAGUUCUUUAUCUUUUUUUUUCAUAAUUAGUACUCCAAAAAAUAGUUUGAAUUUUUAAGAAGAUAAUUAAUCCUUCAUAUCCCAUGUUCUCUUAGCUCUGUUGUAAAUUGAACCUAAAACGCCAAAAUGAAGAGAUAUUGCAAAAAAAGGGCUGUGAACUCUAAAUCCACGUCUGCAAAGUUGAAAGAGAAACGAAAGGGAGUUACUCAUAAUUUCCUUUCUUUCUCGAGUGGUUCAGAGAACGUUGUGGAACGUUUCAAGAGCCACUACGAGAAAAUCAUGAAAUAAAAAUCAAUUUUAGAGACAAAAUAAUUAGUUACUAUAGUGACUAAAUUAGAGACCAUUUUAUGGACUAAAUAAAUUUUUGGUUUCUAAAUUAGUUUCUAUUAUUGUUAAAUGGUUUCUAAAUUGGUAUCUAAUUAACAACCAAGGUUUUUGCUAUCAAAUUUAGAAACUAAAUAAUUGGUAGUUAAAACCUUGGUAGCUAAUUAGAUACCAAUUUAAAAACUAUUUAACAAUAAUAGAAACUAAUUUAGAAACCUUUAGUUUCUAAAAUGGUAUAUAAUUUAGUUACUAUUACAACUAAUUAUUUUUUGUCUUUAAAAAUUUGUUUCUAUUUGAUAAUUUUCUUGUAGUGGUCUCAGAUGGUUGGCUCCUCCAUUCAUGCAGGUCUUCCUCCAUCUCCAACGGUCGCUAAAUUUCGGCGGCCUAACAAUGUCACUAAUCUUGGUUUUGAAGUUGGGGCAAUUUAGUUUUCUCCAUCAAUAAAUAACGCCUCCCUUUGCUCUGAAAAUCAUCUCUCACUCACGCUUCUUAUUUUUUUUCUCUUCCUCUCUUACUCUUCACUCAUUUAUUAUUUUAUUUUACUUUAUAAUUUUUUGGAUUUGUUGGGUUCUUACUCUUUUAAGAGUAGUUUGCUAGUUCUGAUUCUUGGAAAUUUUCUGUUGUAUCUUGAAAGACUUGCACAAUACACCACAUAUAAGUUCUUUCAAACAUUGAUCACUCACGUCUCGGAAAAUCAACUUUUGAUAAUGUUUUAAAGUGUCAUUUACCACAAAUUAUUUGCACAUCUUGUAUGAAUUUAUUUCAUUAGUCAUGAUCAUUUAAGUAAUUUCUUCCCCGAAUAAUGUGAGAAAAUGAUCUUCACCACUUUAAUUAAGAUGCUACACAUUUUCCUUUUAUAAAUUGGUUAUAAUUAUUAUAAUGACAAAUUAUAUUAUUACAAAGAGAUAAUAUGUUAUUAUGUUGCAUAAACUUAAUAUGAUUUAUUAUGCAUUAGUAUUAAUUAUGAUUUAAAUCUCAUUUCCAAUCAUUAUUAUUUAGGAAUAGUCCUUGAAAAAUUGUAGUGGAAGUUUUAUGAAUGAUAAUAAAAAAAAUGUAAAGGAGCAAGUUAUUUAUUUGAAAACUAAUUAUACAAAAAGAAGUUAAAAAUGAAUACUUCAUUAAUUAUAUGGGCAUUUAUUAUUCUGAUAUUUUUUAAUUUGGAGAUUUGCUAAGAUACUUUGGAACUAAUUCAAUUAUAAGGGAGAUUAGAAUGAGAAAGCGUUAAACCUACAGGUGGGAGAAGUUGCCACAGAUGAAGAGCUUGUGAGUGGAACCCAUUUUUUGUUUGUUUUGGAAUAUGCAUUUGUUUGUCGUUGGACUAAUAUGCAUUUAAAAAUUCAUUCACAAGUGUCUAUUUCCUAAUUUCUAUUCAAGAUGCAAAAUAUUUGAGUGUGUUGUGUCUCGCUCUGUGUUGUGUUCGUUAAAAGAAAUAAGGAAAAUGAUAUAAUGACAAUCUUGUUCCAGUAUACAAUUCUAUUUUUUUAUCUAAAAUUUUAAUUUUUAUAUGAAAUGAUAAAAAUAUUUUUUUUAUAUCAUAAAUAAAGAGUUGUAGAGUGGGGCUUGUCCAUCUAUCAUUGCUCAAGAAAUAAAGUAUUUUUGUGUACACAAUGAUUUUGGCAUUAAUGGCUACAUUCUUUUCUACCCAAUGGAGCUACACUUGUGCCCUUGAUGUGUGGUAUCGCAUUCACUGCUUCAUCGUUUUCGGUAACUUGUUUUCUCUUUCUAAAGAUUAUAAAACGAAAAAGAUACGCCCAAUUAUGGAUGGCAAAGUGGUGGUACAAUAAGACCGUAUAACUCACUCUAUCUGAUAUGCAGAUUCAAUGGGUCACACAUGGGGAGUGGGGAAAUCUCUUUGUUCGGAUUUCUUUAUUUUUAUAUUUUUAUUUAUUGAAUUAUUAGUGAUAUUGAUUUUGUUUUGUUAGAUAUUUUUUUAUUAGAGCUUAAUUCUCUAUUUAGCACCAUUUACACUUUUAUUUUCCUAUCUAGCACCCUUUUGUUUUUAUUUUCCUAUCUAACACCCUUUCAAAAAUAAAUAAAUAAAUGUUAAAUUAAUUUUAUUUUAUAAUUUUAAUUUUGAAUACAUUAAAAAAUAAGUAUUUUUAAUGUUUAAAAUAGUUAGAAAUAUAAUUAAUGAAUAAAUAAAUGAGUUUUUACAAAAUAAAAAUAAAAAAGUAAUAAAUUAAAAAUGUUUAGUUUAAAUGUUUUUUUAAGAAUGAAGAAAAUAAAAAAUUAAACUCUAUAACAACAUAAAAGUUGAAUCUAUAAACAUAAAUUAGUAUUUAUUUUUAUUAUUAUUGAUGAUGUAAUCAUGUUAAUUUCAAGUAAAAAAUACAGGACAUAAUUAUCAAAAAAUCAAUAUUGAAAUGUCUAUCCUUAAUGCAAAAUCCUACAAAAAAAACUAAUGCAAUUGUUACACUUAAUGCUUAAAAAUGAGAAGAAAAAAAAUGUAAAAAUAAAUAAAUAUAGAAAAUAAAAACAACAACAUUGCAACAGAUUUUUCAUGAUACGAAAAACUAUUUGAUGGAACUCAUAAAUGAAGAGUAUUGACCUCCAUACACUGGUCAAAUACUAUGCCCAAGUCUCGACAUGAAAAUAACUUCAAAGGGAAGACUUAAGUCAAGUCGAAUAAGGACUGAUAUUGACAUAAGAGAACAACAUGAUCGAACAAAAAAAUGUUUAUAUUGUCAAACACCAGGACACACAUAAAGAACAUGUCCCAACAUUAUUGGAUUGUGUUUUUCUCGUCCUUAAUUAUGUUUCAUUUCGCACAAACUAUUUAAUGUACCAUUGAAGAAAAUAUUAAAUGAAUGAUCAUCUUUCAUGUAUUUUUCUUUUUAUAAUCAACAUCUACUUGUUUAGUAUCGCCUUAUGUCUCUUAUCUUUAUCUUGUUUGGAUUUUUUUUUUAUAUCUUGUAUAUUUAUCUUAUCUUGUUUUUCCUUUAUUUUAUAUCUUAUAUGUUUUUAGUUAUUAUUUUUUCUGUCAUUUUUUAUUUAUUUUUGUUUUUAUUUUAUUAUUGUUGUUUUUAUUUUCUAUACUUAUUUAUUUUUUCAUUUUUUCCUUCUUAUUUUUGAGCAUUAAGUGUAACAUUUGCAUUAGUUUUUUUUAGGAUUUUGCAUUUAGGGUAGACACUUCAAUAUUAUUUGUGUGUCCACUAUUAAUUAAUACUAAUUGACUUUGGUUUUUUUAUAAUUAUGUCCUGUAUUUUUUACUUGAAAUUAACAUUAUUACAUCAUCAAUAAUAAUAAUAAAAAUACUAAUUUAUGUUUAUAGAUUCAACUUUUAUGUUGUUGUAGGGUUUAAUUUCUUAUUUUCUUCAUUCUUAAAAAAAUAAUUUUAAACUAAACAUUUUUAAUUUAUUACUACUUUUUUUUAUUUUGUAAAAACUCAUUUCUUUAUUCAUUAAUUAUAUUUCUAACUAUUUUAAACAUUAAAAAUACUUAUUUUUUAAUGCAUUCAAAAUUAAAAUUAUAAAAAAAAAAAAUUUAUUAUUUAUUUAUUUAUUUUGGAAUGGUGCUAGAUAGGGAAAUAAAAAACAAAAGGGUGCUAGAUAGGAAAAUAAAAACAAAAGGGUGCUAGAUAGGGAAAUAAAAGCAAAAGGGUGCUAGUUAGAAAAAUAAAAGUGUAAAUGGUGCUAGAUAGGGAAUUUACCCUUUUAUUAGAGUAUUAAAGUUUAAUUAAUUUUUUUUAUGGUUCAAAAAGUAAUUUAGGGGACUACAACUAAGUAAAUAGGUCUAAAAUAAAAAUAAAAAAGUAGCUGGAGAGUUCACCAACCCUUCAUGGAUCACCAAUUUUAAUCCAUAUAACUUAGAUAGAUUAAUCGAUUUAUCUCAUUUUUUAUGAAUCAGACCAAAACAUACAAGUCACCCCGUUUUGUAAAUCUUACACCAUGACAUCAUUCAAUUUUAUAGGUCUUUGUUUUAAAUUAUUUAAUUUUAAAUAUUUUGUUAGAUAACUAAAUUUAAAUUUAGUAAAUUUUAUUCUUAUUGUUUGAAUAAAAUAUUUCAAUUAUAUUAAAUUAAAAAAAAAAAAUUAAAUAUUACAAUUAAAAAAAUAUUAAUAUUAAUAUUAAUAAUAUUUUGUAGUGAAUUUUAAUUGAUGUUGUUUUUUUUUAAUUAAAGUUCGUCAAGAUUUUUCAUUUGAUAUUUGUAAAAAAAUUAUCAAUUGAUGUUAUGACAUUGUUUCACUUGGAGUACAAUUAUUUAGGAUGACUUUUGAUGAAAGUUUUUUUACCAUGUUUACGGUUGGGGAUUUUUCCCUAUCUUUUUUAUAUCAAUGUGAGCUGAAAAAAUUUCACUAUUUUGACAUUGGUAAAACAAAACAAUCUUAAUUAAUAUUUAGGUUAAAGUUUAGUUAAUAUUAAAAAAAAAAUUCUUAGCAAACUAUUGGAAAAAAUCUCUAUUGAUGAUGAAAAAUCACUGCAAAUAUUGAUAAAAAGAAAUAAUCAUGAUAGAGAUUUAUUGAAAAAAUAUAAUUCACCUCCCUAAAAAAAAUAUUUCCGACAAAUAAAAUUUUAACUAAACAAUGAAUUAUAUUGUUCUAGAAAAAAUUCUAACAAACUUCUAUAAAACAACUCCAAUCACAUCAAUAAAAAGAAUUUAUAUUUGACAUUAACCAAAAAAUAAUAAUCUUAAUUAAUAAUAUUUCAAUCUUAGUCAAGCUAAUAACACCCUAAUUAAAAUCAAAAUAAGAAAAAACAAUGAAGAUCAAAACAUGAAUUUGAGUAUAUGAAAAAUUUAAUAUUUUUUCCUAAAUUAAAAUAUGAAAUUCUAUAAUUUUAAACAAUCAAAUUACUUUAAAAAAAUUAAAAUUAAUUUCUUGUUAAAUUUUUUAUCCAAACAACAUAUUUUAUCACAAAACAUUUAAAAUUUUCUGAAAAAAUAAUUGUGUUUUUAAAAUUUCUCGCCGAAACACACUAUUAAUGUAUAGCAAGAAAUGGAAUGUUUUGAAAAUAAAAUUUUCUGUAAGUUUUCUUCUGCAUUAAAAUUCCAUGGUUAGGCGUUAUUUUUUUCCUGACAAAACUCUGGAGUCAUCAUUUGUGACUUUUAUAAUUAAUAAAAGUGCUGAAUUACUAAUUGGGCUGGACUCUAGAACAAGCGGUAUUGUUUUCAGCCCAAUUAGUCUAAAUCCUCGUUUUGCAUUUUUAUACCUCCCUUCCUUUCACUUUUUUGUCAAUUUUGAUGGAAACUAACUUCUGUGAUAUAAUUCUUUUAAUAGAUUGUGAAAAAUACAUUCUUCAAAGUGGUGUUUUCAAAAAAUACAUUUUAAAAGUAAACGGGCAACGCAAAAAAAAAAAACAGAAAGAAAGAAGUUAACAAAAUCAACGUAAAUAGUAUAGGCCUUUUUUAUGCGUAGAUAAUGAAAUCCAUCUUAAUACCCAAUUCCAUAGCCACAACGCUAUGAGCUGUCUUGCUUAAAAUAAAGGAAAAAAGACAAAUUCUCUUUGCACCUCCAUACUGCAUCUUUAUAUUUUUUUUUAAUUUAAGAAUACCUUUCUAAGUAUGGUAGAAAGUGUUGGGUAUUCUUCUUUAUUUUCUAGUGGUGGUGGUUACUUAAGGUGAUUGGUGAUGAAUAUUAGUGAUUGAGCUAAGUUUUAUGUUGUUUUUACUAGUGGUGAUGGUGUUUUUGUUCCAUUAUUUAAUUUUUCAACUUUUUUUGAAGCCACAAAACCAAAAAAAGAACAACAAGGUGCAAAAAUGAAGUGAAAUAUUCAAAAAAGAGUUUAUCUUUGCAUUGGAGAAUGUUAAAUACAAUGAAUCUUCUCGCCAAGACUCUUACACUCAAAUAAUGAAAUUAUUCUCUCAAACGCUAUGACUGGAAAAUAAUGAAAGUGUUGCGACCAAAAGGAUACAAGGGUGCAAGAAUGCAAAUGAGAUUAUUUAAAAAUGUAAGGUUAUGCUUUAUUUAUAAUUUUUUUAAAUUUUUUUUAGAAAAAUUUAAAAAUAUUUUUCACAAUUAAUAUGGAGGUGUGAGAUGUACGGAAAUUAAUAAAUUUUUUUUUCUUAAUUAUUCUUGAAUUAUUAGAAUUAUUAUUAUUGUUCUCUUUUUUUAGUUUAACUAACAUUUAUUAUUAAUUUUUAGUUUGUAUGAAACAACAUUAAAUUACAUUUUGUAGGAGAUAGGAACAUAUUAACCUACCUGUACGGGUGUUGAUAAUAUAUAUUCUCUCCUUUAUUGAAUAUAGUUAAUAUAUAUUCUCGUCAAAACUCGAGCUCGAAUGCUUAGAUGUUGUAUCCGAGACAAUUCCUUUACAACUGUAAGGUUUGAGUGUUUGGAGGUCGCACUGAGAUGAGGGGAGUUCUAUUUGUUGACAAUAUUUUGACGAUCAAGUUAGUGAAAACUCGAGCUCGAAUGCUUAGAUGUUGCAUCCAAGACAAUUCCUUUACAACUACAAGGUUUGAGUGUUUGGAGGUCGCACCGAGAUGAGGGGAGUUCUACUUGUUGACAAUACUCUAACAAUCAAGUUAGUGAAAACAUAAAAAUAUCAAUGUAGUAUGUAUUGCAUAGAAUAAUAUUCCUCUUAUUUUUUGGGGUCAUCCUCUAUUUAUAGAAUUUUUCAUCAGAAUAAUAUCACAACAUAUUUAAAUAAUAACAAGCAUAUCUUUUAUGUUCAGAAUAAUAUCACAACAAAUUAAAUAAUAACAAUCAUAUAUUUUCUUUUAUCGAUAUAACCCGGACAGUACACAAUAGUCUAGCCUCAAGCCGAGCGAGCGAGGUGAUGAGGUUAUAGUAAAUAUUCACAUUAAAAACCUUUGCAUUAAAAGUGGUUUUGCACGUGACUCAAGGCAUUAUAUCACAAGACGUGGAUUUGUUAGUUAUUAAUGCAGUCCGAUCGUAGUCGUCGACCAAGUUAGUCCACCCGUACAAAUGUCGUUGACCAACUUAAUUCAAUCUUAGGAUUUGGCCAAAUUGGUUUGCCCGAGAAAUGUCUUUGAUCCACUUGGUUUGAUCUUAGGAUUCAACCAAGUUGGUUCGUCCAUAGAAAUGUCGUUGACCCACUUGAUCCGAUCUUAGGAUUCGACCAAGUUGGUCCGCCUAUAGAAAUGUCGAUAACCCACUUGGUUCGCUCUUAGGAUUCUGUCAAGUUGGUUCGUCCGUAGAAAUGUCGUUGACCAACUUGGUUCGAUCGACAUUCCAGAAUUUUCCCAUUUUCGCUUGAACAAAAUUUCAUUUUGUUUGAGCGAAAAUGGACUAAAAAGUACUUUAGAAUUGUUAUUUUAUUAAAUAUACUAGACCAAAGUAAUAAUUUCCCUGCUAGAGUUAGAUAGUUACUCUAAAUCAAAAUCACACCACCAAUACUUAGCAACAUUAUCCUUUAAGUAAUUCAUCAAACUAUUUACAUUCAUUCAUUUACUUAUUCACAUCAAAACAAUAUAAUUUUAUAACAUCUACCAUGUCUAAAAUUUCGCAUUCUAAUCUCAAUCAAAUUCUAACAUACUCAAAAUAACCAAUCAUGCAAGAAAUUUUGAGACUGGUGACCACGUUACCUCUACAUCCAGAUAUUCUAGCGUAGGGUUCUAUUUGAAAUUUGAAACUAGCUUCCCUUACCUGAACUUGAGCAAAUGUUCACUAAGAGCUCCAAAUCCUAUAAUUCUUCUAGGGUAACUUAACCUCACCAUAGAGUCUUGAUAAAAAUCUAACUACAUCAUUAUGACCUUGACAGAGAUUAAUUAUGAAGAUAAAAGUAUUACAUGCAAGCUUAAACUAAAGGCAAACCUAACGAGAUAAAAAAGAACUCAAAGAAAAAUGAGUCAAAAUGAACUUAAUUUAUUUAAAAAUUUGACAAGGUAAAUCUUAUACAGUUUACUACCAAGAGUUCAAUGAUAGACUCCGAUUAUUGAUAUGAUGAGCAAGGAUGUUAAAAUCUAAGAGAAAAAAGAGAGAAAAGAAAAAAUAAUUUUUUUUAAAUAAUGAUCCUUUUAAAAUAACACCCGAAUAACUGAAUUUUUAUAUUUAUAUAGACUUUUUACUUUAAUAAUAAAUAUUUCGGUGUCAUUUUAAUUAUCAUUUCUUCUCUAAAAUUAAUUUUCUCAGUACUUACAACAAAUAUAUUUACCUUAAUAAAUACACAAAAGAAAAAGAAAGAUUAUAAAGCUAGAAUUUUGUAUUGAUGAGUUUUUGUCCUUCUUCAAUCAUCCAUUUUAACUAUAUCUUUAAAUUAAAAAUUGCUAAAGUAAAUUAACUCAACCAGUUUCAAAUUCUUAUAAUAACUUACCGAGCACUCUUAUUAUAAUUUACAAUUUUUCAUUUGUUUUUAUAGAAAGAAGAAAAAACAGUGUCUUGAAGAAUAGCUAAAGGAAAUAGUUUUCUGCUUCUUUUUUUUGUUUUAAAAUUUGAAACUUAAUAUUGUUAACAGCUUUUUCCUCUAAACAAUUUCCAAAAUUAUGCCCAUUUUUUAAGAUUAUGGUAGAGUAAGAGCAUCACCAAACUAUUAAGUCAGAUAUACUUCUUUAUCAUGCUUGGUUUUAUUAUUAUUAAUACUAUUAUUUUAUAAUUAUUAUUACUUUAUUUUAUUAUAAUUAUAACUAUUUUAUUAUAAAAUAAAGGAUUAUAAUAAAAUAAAGUAAUAAUAAUUAUUUUAUUAUAAUUAUAAUAAAAUAAAACAAUUAUAAUUAUAAUAAAACAAAAUAACUUAUAAUAAUAAUAAUACUGAUAUAAACUGGUUUAGUAAUUUUGAUGAUAUUCUCAUUCUAUGAUGAUCUUAUGUUUGACUUUUAUUUCUUUAUUUAAAAAUUUAGUCUAAAUGACAAGGGUCUGUCCUGUUUAUUAUAAUGGUUUCGUGUUAUCUUUUAUUUUAUUAUAUUAAAGUUAAUUAUCUUAUAAUGGUUUUUUUAUCAAAUAAAAUAAAAUAUAAUACAAUUGUGAUUAUGUUAAUUAUUUUAUAUAAUUAUAUAUAUUAAAAUAAUUUAAUUAUCACUACUACUGUCCGAAAAGAAGGAAGUUUACAGGUUUAAUUAUUAAUGGACAAAAUGUUACUCAUUUCUUUUUGUGUUUUUGAAGUUUCAUAUAUUAAAUUUUUAAUAUGAUAUUUAUAUUUAAAAAAAUAAUUUUAAUUCUUUUAACUAAGACGUUAACUUCAAUAUAAUAUUUUGUGAUUAUUUUGAAAAUUUCUAUUUUAGUCCGUAUUAAUUAAAACCUUAAAAAGACUAUUAGACAAUCAAUUUUCUGAAUAUAUUUAAUAUGUGUUGAAAUAAAUCAAAAAGACAUUUUAAAAAAUAUAAAGUAAAUUUUAAAAAAAAUUGUGCACUGGGACACAUAAUUCCCAAUUCACCGACACAUUUGUAGGAACUGAACAUAGUGGUACUCUACUAUUUCCUCUUUAACAGAGCUACUGAUACCUACAGGUUAACAUGCCUUGUCUAUUCUCCUCCAUCUUCGGAAAAGCACUGACCUUUAUGAGAAAAAAAUUGUGAAAAGAUGGUGAUACUCAUAUAAAUUUUUGUAUGAAUUUUACAGAAAUAGUAUAUGCUUCAAUAACUUGGCUUUGACCGCUUGCACGUUCUUAGAGUAUAUUUUACGCCAUUGGUCCACCUGUGCCCUACUGUUGUUGGUUUUAGUAUUAGAAUAUUCUGUACUUGUCUCUCCUCUUUAAAUACAUGAAAGAAGAUUUAGAAAGUGUGAAUCUAAAAAUAGAUUCCUUCUUCUAUCAAAAAAGCUCUCUUCUUCUGUUAAUUUUUCAGUUUUUGAUAUAUGUCAAACCAGCGGAUGUAAAGUGAUGAAUUCAUUCAACAACAACAAUCAGGACAAUGGCACUCAGAACUUCACUAAUGCCAAAAUCAUAAUUACUGGAGGUUAUUGCUGUUGCUGUACUUCGUUUGAUUUGCAUGGUAUCAUUAAACUAAACAAAUACUCUGUUUUUUUUUUUGUCUGUAUUAGGUCUUUCUCAGGUACUGGUCUCUCAAUCAAGACUUCGACGAAUUCCCCUUCACUUCUAAGUCACUAUUCCCUAACAACAUUUUUAGAUUCUCCAUAGCCACUUUCCACUGUUUACUACAAAGACAGUAAUGGAAGCUUCUUCCACCGGAUCCAAUUCCAGUGACGUCUUUGUAUCUUCUCCUUUUGGGUGUCAACUAUUUUUCCAAGCAGAUUAGAUCUGAACGUCUGUGCCUUAUUUUGUGUUCAGCACCAGGUCUCAAGUAUUUAUGCAAAAAGUCCCUUAAACGUCAAGUAAUUUACAGUGUUUAUACUGUCAAGAAGCGCUGCAAAAUAUACCGUGAUAUUUUUGGUCUAACACAGUGACUAUACUCAUAGCCGCUAUCCUACACUCAUUUUUUACAUUAAUUCAAAACACGUUACUUACGCUCGUAUCUUCUUCUUCGCGCGCGUUUUCCUUUCUUUUUUAUCUUUUGAGGUUUUUGUAAGUUUCUCUCAUUCACUCACUUAUUCUUCUGCAUCCUCCAUUGCUUUUUUUUUUCCUCUUAUUAUUUAUUUGUUUCUGCAUCUUAUUUUGUUUCAUUGUUUAGGGUUUCCUUGUGCCUCCAUUGAUCUUCAUCGUUGCUAGUCGUCUCUGCUCUUCACCACCACCACCUUCACGUACAAGGUUGGUGGUAUUUUUUUAUAUUUUUAAUCAUUGUAAAAUUUAUUUAAAAUAGGUAGAAAGUGAUUUUUAUUCAAUUUUUUUGGAAAUUUCAUUUAGAAUAUAUUUGAUGGAGGAGUCCUCACAUUGAAGAGAAAAGUGAUAGAUUUGGAAUCGUCAAGAAGUAGUGUGAAAAUGAAAGUUGCUCGAGAUGAGAAGACAAGGCCCUUGGCCAAUACCCAAAGGGAAUUGAGUUCACUAAAAAUUCCAAAAAUCCAUCAUUUACUAUUAUUUAUUUUAUUUUUUUUUUGUAUUAUUUAGGUCUUUUUUAAAGUUUAGGAGGUUUUAGUUCUCAUACUUAUACUAAUAAAAAAAUUCUGAAUUUUUUUAUUUAUUUUUUCCAGUAUAAAUUAGUGAUUUAUCAAUAGUGUAUGAGUUACAUAAAUAAAUAGGAAUAUGUUAUUAUAGUGUUUGUAAUACAUUUUAUCAAUGUAUAUAAUUUGAUUCUUUGAAUAUAUGUAUCUAGGCUAACUGAGUUUUAAUUGUACGAGUUACUUUAGAUGGGAUUAGUAUUAAAAAGAAUGAACUAAAAAAAUAAAAAAUAUUCAUCUAAAAUGGUGGUUAUGGUAAAAUAAUCGUUGUUUUAAACCUUUCAGGAGAAUCUAAAACGACAGCUUUUACUAUAGUCAUAUUCUUUACUCUGGAACAUAAGACUGUGUGCUGAUCAACAACGGCUAGGAAAUCGUCGUUUUAAGGUUAAAAUAGCUGCCGUUUUUAACUAUUUUUGCAGUAGUGGAUGAAUAGAAUCUUCAUAUGUUCUCAUGAGCUGGUGCUGUAAUUCACAAGGAUUCUUAUGUUGAAGCUAUGCGCAGGAUAUAAACAAAUUAAGGAUAAAAGUUAAAGAGAUAUAAACCAAGUUCUCUUAUGUCUGUAUUAAGGAGGAAGCGUGAAAGAUAACUUCUCACCCAAAUUUCUCUAGAAUUGUUAACUUUACAUGUAUAUUGAGGUUUCCCAAAUUCUUCUUAGGGUCCAAAACAAUUUGUUUGAUGUAUUUGGGAACUUUGUUCUGACUCCUUUGGAUUUGAUUUAUCUUCCUUGAGUAUGCAUAUCUAUAUGUUGUUUUCUUAGGCAUAAGACCGUCAGAGUAACAAGAGAAUACAUAAAUGAGAUCUUGAAUUCUCUGGACAAAAUGCGUGUUACAGGGCAAUAUGAAUUAGCUUUUUUGGUUUCUAAAUUAUCUUGGGAUUGGGGUUUCAGUAACCAACAUGAAAUAUGAUACACUUAUACUUCAAUCUGUGUCAAAUACAAUACUUAUCAUUGAAGUAUCUAUAAAGUAAUAAUAUAUCACUUAUAGUAUCCGCUUAUUUUCAAAAUAAGCGUACCGUAUUCAAUACACAGUAUCCAUGCAAUAUGUAAAUCAUGCAAUAUGGUUUAAUAUUAAAUUUAAUGCAACAGAACUAAUUGCUUAACUAGUUGAAAAAAACAGUAAUUUAAUUGUUUGACAUGGUGUUGCAGGUUCUUUAGGAUUUGGCCUCUUAAAGUUCCAGGUUUGCGACAGGAUUUAUAAUUUUGAAUUGGAUUGCACUCUCUUCAGAAUCUGUGGAGCUUUUACGUGCCAAUCAAAGUUUGAUCCACAAGUAACUAAGAAUUCAGUUGUUAAUACAUCAAGUAAUUUACCUGUAAGUACUUUCUUUCACCUUGGACUCUUUAAUCCCUUAUCUCAGCCAUAACUGAUUGGGACCUUGGCCUUGUGAACCCAAUAAAGUUCUCUUUCUUGUGAGACUAUUUUAGUGUACCAAAAUCGUAACCAAGUAGCUAGAGGGCCUACAGUCCUUGUUUAUGGGCUAUUUUCUGUUUUAAUAUAUACUUGAAAACCAGUUAUGUAUUUCGGCAUUGUGCUGAGUGUGAAUCCAAAUUAAUUGAGUACGUUAAAUUUUAUAUUGUUUAUUUUCUGAAGUUGAUUCGUUGGUUUGGGAUGUGAUAUGGUUGUUUCCCUUAUGAUUUUUGUUCUCCAUUCCCGUGGUAAUGAUCAAGAUAGUUCUGUUUUCCCCGGUAUAUUUAAGUAUUGUGAAUUUGGACAAGGGAAAACAAAAUUGUUUCGUGGCAGGACAAGAUGAAUCUAAAAGUUGAAUUUUUCUUUAAAUAAAAUUUAUUCUAAAUACUUCGUGAUGCAGAAAAUGAAUGGACUUAGUUUCCAGAUGUGUUCAUGUUUAACAUCAAAAUAUUCACAGAUAGCUUUGAGAUCUGUUUUUUUUCCUAAUUUGAUACUUUAUCUCACCUGAUAUUGUUAUUCUAAAUGGUUAAAAUAUGAUAAAUUGGUAAUAUACUUUAAAAAUGUUUUUAGUGAUUGUUCUAACAAAUAAAUCUUAGGGUCUUCAUUCAUUUUUUUUUAUUGAUUUUGGUUUUGAAAGUCAUAUUUAAGACUUUUUUUUUUACUUUGUUAAUUUCUUUACUAAAGGUUAAGAUUUUGAUUUUUUUUCUAUUUUAUUUUCCAUGUCUAUUGAUUUAUUUUUUCUAUUAUUUUGUUGAUUUUAUUAAUUUUAUCUUAAUUUAAUGAUAUAGGAUCAUGAUUUCUUGAAUUAGGGUUUAUUAAUUUACUUCUAAAUUUGUUUCCAUAUUAUUAUUUUACCUAUUUGUCAUUACUUGAUUAUGAUAGAACUCGAUCCACAUAAUAUUUUCAUUCCGUAAUACACUGUAAUGAUAGAUUGAUUCCUACUUAUCAGUACAUAGUCUUCUAGUCUUAAACCCUAAAAUUAUUAGGAUUCAUCAGAACUUUACUACAAUAAUAUAUUAAAAAUAAUAUUACUUUGAGUACUUUUGAAUUCCCUCUAUAUGUUCGUGUAUUUUCUGGAUCAAGUACUCACUUACUAAUAAUUUUAUAUUUGAUGUUUCAGGAAGGCAAAGUAUUGGACCAAGUGCCAUAACAAACUCAUUUAACAACGAGAGUGAAGGCAGACAAGACUUCUCCAAUGCAACAAUCAAAAUUGAAAGGUGUAGUUAUGCCUCAACUAGUAGUGUCAGUGUCGGUGUGAUAGCAAGCUCAUUCAACAACAAGGGCAAUGGCAUCCAAAACUUUAGCAAUGCCACAAUCAUAAUCAUCGGCAACUGUUGUGGCUCACUUGGUUUGCAUGGUAUCAUAUUUUACUGCUUAUUCCUUAGAGUUCUUGUUACACUACUGCUUAUCCCAACUAGAGAUCAACAUCUCCAUCUAACAAUACUGGAUUCAACUUGAUCCAAGGUUGAGGUCAAUUCUCCUUCAAGGGGCACUGCACUCGCCAAUAACAUUCAUUUAUGAUCCUCCAUAAUCUUCUCACCUACCAUGUCUAUGUCUUCUACCACCAGAUUCAAUUUUCGCCACAUCUUUGUAUGUUCCUCUUUCACUCACCAUGCUGGUUUAUAUUCAAUUUUUCUAUUUAAAAUAUAUAUGAACAUGCAUGCUCUUGUUUUUGUGCUCAACACCAGAAUCUCCACGUACUAAAGAUCUACAUUGAGUGAAAUAGAAAACAAAAAAAGUAGAAAACUAUAGGAAUGAAGAGUUGAUGCAAUUUUAUUCUUAUAUAAAUUACAUUAGAAAGUUUGCAACAGUUUUAUCCUAACAAAAUAUUUCUCUUAAUUAUGGUCAAUAUAAGACCUGCGAAAGUGUGUUUUUAUCUUAUUGUAUGAUUCUCAACAUUUGUGAGAAUUCCAACUUUAUGUCAAUUUAUGCAUGAUAUAAAUGAAGGACAGAAAAUUCCCAACAUUUGUGAGGAUUCCAACUUUAUGCCAAUUUAUGCAUGAUAUAAAUGAAUGACAAAAGUUGGAGUAAAUAGUUUCAUUAUAUAUGUGGGUCCUGGUUUGAUUAUUGAUAUCUAGAAGAUACUUUCUAAAAUAUCUAACUAGGAAUAUUCAGAAGAUUUUAGUAGUUUUGCUUUAUGAUGAAAGGUGUAUUUUAUAGGUUAUGGAUGUUUUUCUUUUUUACUCUGGGAUGCUAUACAAUACCAUCUAUUCUUUAAAGUUAUUAAGUCUGUACUAUCUUUAAUAAAUUUCAAAUAAGGAGUUAUUCCAUACUCUUUUUCUUCUCUUUAGGAAUAUUCUGUUAGUUUUAUUAGAUUUGUAUAUUAAUGAUUAGUAUAUCAUAAGUGAGGUAAUAUGGAAAAUGCUUUCUCUACCAAAUUGCUAUCUUCAACUAUAACUCUUGACUUUAAUGCAAUGUCGCGAGGUACAUGUAUUGUAGUUUAUCCACCUCUGGAAGGUUCUUAAUACAUAUCUUUUGAGACCUGAUGUUGGGUUUCGGUAAUUGAGUCUGCAAAUGUGCUUAAUCCAUCAAAUUGUGCCCAAAUCCUUCAUAGAUGGUCUUAAACAUUUUGUUUGAUAUAUUUGGGAUUUGUGCUGUGAUUAACUUUAAUUCCUUAUGAUUCAAGAAAAAGUGAUUCUAGUAAUAUGACAUUUUAUAUAAUACGUGCUAAAAUAUUAUUAAAAAAUUCACUGAAAGUAUUGAAAUUUCGUGUACAUGUAUGAAGGCAUUGUCCUGACUAACUAAUGGUUUUAUAUUUGAUGUCUUACAGGAAGUCGAAGUAUUGAACACGGUGUUGUAAACUCAUUCAACAACGAAGGCAAUGGGUUACAGGACUUCAGCAAUUCAACAAUCAUAGUUGGAAGUUGUAGCUGUACCUCAACUUGUGUGGAACUGAAGACUUAUCAAACGGGUUUGAUUAAGAAAAACAUUGAAACUGGAUGAGGCAUGUUAAACCUUUGAGAUGAGGCCAUAAUGUUUUCAAACAGUUAUUGACUGAAGAACCCUUUGGAAAACAAAGUAGCCAUUAGCCAAUAGGGUUGAAGAAAGCUCAAUUUUUGGAAAUCUUUCAAUUAUGCUGAUUGUUGAUUGUGUUUUGGCACUUUAG